GUUCACUGAAUGUUCCUGGGUCUGCUGUUCCUAAGAAUCUUCAAUACGUUUACAUCGUUGUCAUCUUCAAGAGUGAGAUCUGUAAGUUAGCUGCAGACAAACUCAUCUGACCAUGGGACACCUUUAUUCAUGGGCUAGUUCUUUGGAUUAUUAUUCAUUCCAGUGCACUUUUAGAAUCUGUGUAAUAAAGU
rnacentral:lncRNA from 1 species